rnacentral:rRNA from 1 species
AUUGAACGCUGGCGGCAUGCCUAACACAUGCAAGUCGAACGGCAGCAUGGUCUAGUUUACUAGAUUGAUGGCGAGUGGCGGACGGGUGAGUAACGCGUAGGGAUAUGCCUUAAAGAGGGGGAUAACUUGGGGAAACUCAAGCUAAUACCGCGUAAUCUCUGAGGAGAAAAGCUGGGGACCUUCGGGCCUGGCGCUUUAAGAAUAGCCUGCGUACGAUUAGCUAGUUGGUGGGGUAAGGGCUCACCAAGGCGACGAUCGUUAGCUGGUCUGAGAGGAUGGCCAGCCACACUGGGACUGAGACACGGCCCAGGCUCCUACGGGAGGCAGCAGUGGGGAAUAUUGGACAAUGGGGGCAACCCUGAUCCAGCAAUGCCGCGUGUGUGAAGAAGGCCUGAGGGUUGUAAAGCACUUUCAGUGGGGAGGAGGAUUGAUUGGUUAAGAGCUGAUUAAUUGGACGUUACCCACAGAAGAAGCACCGGCUAACUCCGUGCCAGCAGCCGCAGUAA